rnacentral:rRNA from 1 species
GACGAACGCUGGCGGCGUGCUUAACACAUGCAAGUCGAACGCUGAAGCUUGGUGCUUGCACUGUGUGGGUGAGUGGCGAACGGGUGAGUAAUACGUGAGUAACCUGCCUUUGACUCUGGGAUAAUCCUGGGAAACUGGCUCCAAUACUAGAUACGACCUUUCACCGCAUGGUGGUGUGUGGAAAGGGGUUUACUGGUUUUGGAUGGGCUCACGGCCUAUCAGCUUGUUGGUGGGGUAAUGGCUCACCAAGGCGACGACGGGUAGCCGGCCUGAGAGGGUGACCGGCCACACUGGGACUGAGACACGGCCCAGACUCCUACGGGAGGCAGCAGUGGGGAAUAUUGCACAAUGGGCGGAAGCCUGAUGCAGCGACGCCGCGUGAGGGAUGACGGCCUUCGGGUUGUAAACCUCUUUCAGCACGGAAGAAGCGAAAGUGACGGUACGUGCAGAAGAAGCGCCGGCUAACUACGUG